AACCUGGUUGAUCCUGCCAGUAGUCAUAUGCUUGUCUCAAAGAUUAAGCCAUGCAUGUGUAAGCACACACUGUUUAAAAGUGAAGCCGCGAAUGGCUCAUUACAACAGCCACAGUUUAUUAGAACUUACAAUCAUGGAUAACUGUGGUAAUUCUAGAGCUAAUACACGCACAAAAACUUCAACUGAAUUGGUUGAAGUGCUUUUAUUAGAACAAAAACCGAACGGCGUUUGACGAAUGUUGAACGUCGAAACUGUUUGGUGAAUCUGAAUAACUAUUUCUGAUCGCAUGGUCUAGCACCGGCGACAUCACUUUCAAGUGUCUGCCUUAUCAACCUUCGAUGGUAGUCUAUGCGACUACCAUGGUGAUAACGGGUAACGGAGAAUCAGGGUUCGACUCCGGAGAGGGAGCCUGAGAAACGGCUACCACAUCCAAGGAAGGCAGCAGGCGCGCAAAUUACCCACUCCCAGCUUGGGGAGGUAGUGACGAAAAAUAACGAGACGAUUCUCGUUUGAGAAACGUUAUCGAAAUGAGUACGCUUUACACACGCUAACGAGUAGCAAUUGGAGGGCAAGUCUGGUGCCAGCAGCCGCGGUAAUUCCAGCUCCAAUAGCGUAUAUUAAAGUUGCUGCGGUUAAAACGCUCGUAGUUGAAUUGUGGUCUUAGACAACAGUCCCCCUACAUAGGUGUGGCACGGUUGCUCGAGAUCUUCAUUCGUGGUUGCUGUUGUUGCUCUUCAUUGAGUGUCAAUGGUGCCUCGAGAUUUUACUUCGAAAAAAUUAGAGUGCUCAAAGCAGGUUGUGAUGCCUGAAUAAUGGUGCAUGGAAUAAUAGAAUACGAUCUCGGUUCUAUUUUGUUGGUUUUCGAACCGGAGAUAAUGAUUGAAAGGAACAGACGGGGGCAUUCGUAUUGCUGCGUUAGAGGUGAAAUUCUUGGAUCGCAGCAAGAUGAACAAUUGCGAAAGCAUUUGCCAAGAAUGUUUUCAUUAAUCAAGAACGAAAGUUAGAGGUUCGAAGGCGAUCAGAUACCGCCCUAGUUCUAACGGUAAACUAUGCCAACCAGCGAUUCGCCGAAGUUCAUUUAAGACUCGGCGAGCAGCUUCCGGGAAACCAAAGUGUUUCGGUUCCGGGGGAAGUAUGGUUGCAAAGCUGAAACUUAAAGGAAUUGACGGAAGGGCACCACCAGGAGUGGAGCCUGCGGCUUAAUUUGACUCAACACGGGAAAACUCACCCGGCCCGGACACUGGAAGGAUUGACAGAUUGACAGCUCUUUCUUGAUUCAGUGGGUAGUGGUGCAUGGCCGUUCUUAGUUGGUGGGGCGAUUUGUCUGGUUAAUUCCGAUAACGAACGAGACUCUACCCUAUUAAAUAGUGACAGUAUUGUAUUUUUUGUGCUGAUCACUUCUUAGAGGGACUGGCAAAUUGAAAGCUGCACGAAAAAGAGCAAUAACAGGUCUGUGAUGCCCUUCGAUGUCCGGGGCUGCACGCGCGCUACAAUGAAAGCGUCAACGUGAGUUACGUCCUUACCUGAAAAGGUUUGGCAAUCGAAUGAAACGUUUUCUUGAAUGGAAUAGGGAAUUGCAAUUGUUUCCCUUGAACGAGGAAUUCCCAGUAAGCGUGAGUCAUUAGCUCGCGUUGAUUACGUCCCUGCCCUUUGUACACACCGCCCGUCGCUACUACCGAUUGGAUGAUUUAGUGAGGUGUUUUGACUGGCGCCAGUAGUCGGAUGUAUUCGGCUUCGCGCCGGGAAAUUUCCCAAACCAAAUCAUCUAGAGGAAGUAAAAGUCGUAACAAGGUUUCCGUAGGUGAACCUGCGGAAGGAUCAUUAUC
rnacentral:rRNA from 1 species